GACUGGGCAGCCCCAUCCCGAGGACAUCCUGCUAUUUGCUGUCCCCAUCUGUGCUCCCUACACAGCCAUGACCAACUACAAGUAUAAAGUCAAGCUCACUCCGGGCACCCAAAAGAAGGGCAAAGCUGCCAAGAUCGCCUUGCACAAUUUUAUGCAGUCCAAAGAAGCCAGUGCAAGAGAGAAAGACCUGUUCCGCAGCGUGAAGGACACCGAUUUGUCAAGGAAUAUUCCUGGUAAGGUGAAAGUGUCUGCACCUCAUCUCCUGAACAGGAAGAAGAAGUGAUUCUAUGCUGGGGGUUCUCACCCCCAAACUGGUGCAGUCAGGACCAGCACCUGGAGCUGGGACAGACGGACACAGACCCACAACUGGUGUUACUGGGACUGAAUUGUUUCCACGGGGCAGGGCAGCAAGGGCCAGGUCCUGCAGCGUGGUUUAGAUGGACUCUGAUACCAAUAGCAUACAAACAUGGAAGUAAAUUGCUGGCAUUUGGUCAGGAAUGUCCUCCC